CUUCAAUGCAUUGAUCACGUUUUCUUGGGUUACAUGCAGGGGGGAUCAUGCUUCGAAUGGUUGUUGCCAUUGUCAACAGUGUUACUCCCUGGUUAGACACGAGAUACAUAUUAUGGAAGUUCAAGUGUUAAAACGGUAAUGAUUUAAGUGUGUAGCAAAUCUUUUACCAGUUGGAAAACUAGACACUAAGGCUCGAAUUGCUCACAGGUCUUAUUUCCUUUCCAGGUCAUUUUCUUUUAUUAAAUCUAGGCUACAUGCUGUUUAUUAGAAUGACUAUCCUUUUGGCCAUUUCAGAUUUUCCUUGUUGAUAUUGGAGACAACUUCUCUAUAUUUAAUUGGCUCAAGAAUCUUACCAAAGCAGCAAUUGAAGCAAAGAUUGCAACAGUCAAAUAACGGCCAAGUUUAGCAUCUGCCAGGAAACCACCUAGAAGACCAAGAAGAUUAAGUGUGCCCAUGAAGUUGGUGACAAUGUUGGCAGAUUUGGAGGAUGGAAGAUGUAAAUCUCCGACCAAGUAUGUGACUAAGUUCAUUG